rnacentral:rRNA from 1 species
GCAUGGCGCAGCUACACAUGCAGUCGAGCGGAUGAGAGGAGCUUGCUCCUCGAUUCAGCGGCGGACGGGUGAGUAAUGCCUAGGAAUCUGCCUGGUAGUGGGGGAUAACGUCCGGAAACGAACGCUAAUACCGCAUACGUCCUGAGGGAGAAAGUGGGGGAUCUUCGGACCUUGCGCUAUCAGAUGAGCCUAGGUCGGAUUAGCUAGUUGGUGAGGUAAUGGCUCACCAAGGCUACGAUCCGUAACUGGUCUGAGAGGAUGAUCAGUCACACUGGAACUGAGACACGGUCCAGACUCCUACGGGAGGCAGCAGUGGGGAAUAUUGGACAAUGGGCGAAAGCCUGAUCCAGCCAUGCCGCGUGUGUGAAGAAGGUCUUCGGAUUGUAAAGCACUUUAAGUUGGGAGGAAGGGCAGUAAGUUAAUAUUUUGUUUUUUUGACGUUACCGACAGAAUAAGCACCGGCUAACUUUUUGCCAGCAGCCGCGUUAAUACUUAUGGUGCAAGCGUUAAUCGUAAUUACUGGGCGUAAAGCGCGUGUAGGUGUUUCAUUAAGUUUGGUU